rnacentral:rRNA from 1 species
GCGCGCCAUUAAGUCAGGGUGAAAGUCUGCAGCUCAACUGUAGAAUUGCCCUUGAUACUGGUGUCUUGAGUUAUAGUGAAGUAACUAGAAUAUGUAGUGUAGCGUGAAAUGCAUAGAUAUUACAUAGAAUACCGAUUGCGAAGGCAGGUUACUAACUAUAUACUGACGCUGAUGACGAAGCGUGGGGAGCGAACAGGAUUAGAUACCCUGUAGUCCACGCCGUAAACGAUGGAUACUAGCUGUCCGGAUGCAAAUCUGGCGGCCAAGCGAAAGUGAUAAGUAUCCCACCUGGGGAGUACGUCCGCAAGGAUGAAACUCAAAGGAAUUGACGGGGGCCGCACAAGCGGUGGAGCAUGUGGUUUAAUUCGAUGAUACGCGAGGAACCUUACCAGGGCUUAAAUGUGGUCUGACAGCUUUAGAGAUAGAGUUUCUUCGGGCAGAUCACAAGGUGCUGCAUGGUUGUCGUCAGCUCGUGCCGUGAGGUGUCAGGUUAAGUCCUAUAACGAGCGCAACCCCUGCCGUUAGUUGCCAGCAUGUAAUGAUGGGGACUCUAACGGGACUGCCGGUGCAAACCGCGAGGAAGGUGGGGAUGACGUCAAAUCAUCACGGCCCUUACGUCCUGGGCCACACACGUGCUACAAUGGCCGGUACAGAGAGCAGCCACUGGGCAACCAGGAGCGAAUCUAUAAAACCGGUCACAGUUCGGAUCGGGGUCUGCAACUCGACCCCGUGAAGCUGGAAUCGCUAGUAAUCGGAUAUCAGCCAUGAUCCGGUGAAUACGUUCCCGGGCCUUGUACACACCGCCCGUCAAGCCAUGGAAGCUGGGAGUGCCUGAAG